UACGUAGGGGGCAAGCGUUGUCCGGAAUCAUUGGGCGUAAAGCGCGGGUAGGCGGCUAGGUAAGUCUGCUCUGAAAGCCCGGGGCUCAACCCCGGGAGGCGGGUGGAUACUGUCUAGCUCGAGUCCGGAAGAGGAGUGUGGAAUUCCUGGUGUAGCGGUGAAAUGCGCAGAUAUCAGGAGGAACACCAAUGGCGAAGGCAGCACUCUGGGACGUGACUGACGCUGAGACGCGAAAGCGUGGGGAGCAAACAGG
rnacentral:rRNA from 1 species